rnacentral:misc_RNA from 1 species
AUGAAACAUGUCCUUGGCGUCGACGUGCAUUCAUCUCAUUGUUGCAAGGAUGAAAACACAACUGGAUUUUUGCUGCAAGUACGAGUUGAGAGCGACAUUUAUAGAAGACGACAAUGGCAUCUGGUUUGCUUUGUUUUUACGCAUGUGUAGGCGAAGCACGCCAUUUCUCUAAUUUGCUUUGAUGCAUUUUCUAGAUCUAUUGAUUUGUGA